rnacentral:rRNA from 1 species
CGCCGCGUGAGUGAUGAAGGUUUUCGGAUCGUAAAACUCUGUUGUUAGGGAAGAACAAGUACCGUUCGAAUAGGGCGGUACCUUGACGGUACCUAACCAGAAAGCCACGGCUAACUACGUGCCAGCAGCCGCGGUAAUACGUAGGUGGCAAGCGUUGUCCGGAAUUAUUGGGCGUAAAGCGCGCGCAGGCGGUUUCUUAAGUCUGAUGUGAAAGCCCCCGGCUCAACCGGGGAGGGUCAUUGGAAACUGGGGAACUUGAGUGCAGAAGAGGAGAGUGGAAUUCCACGUGUAGCGGUGAAAUGCGUAGAGAUGUGGAGGAACACCAGUGGCGAAGGCGACUCUCUGGUCUGUAACUGACGCUGAGGCGCGAAAGCGUGGGGAGCGAACAGGAUUAGAUACCCUGGUAGUCCACGCCGUAAACGAUGAGUGCUAAGUGUUAGAGGGUUUCCGCCCUUUAGUGCUGCAGCAAACGCAUUAAGCACUCCGCCUGGGGAGUACGGUCGCAAGACUGAAACUCAAAGGAAUUGACGGGGGCCCGCACAAGCGGUGGAGCAUGUGGUUUAAUUCGAAGCAACGCGAAGAACCUUACCAGGUCUUGACAUCCUCUGACAACCCUAGAGAUAGGGCUUCCCCUUCGGGGGCAGAGUGACAGGUGGUGCAUGGUUGUCGUCAGCUCGUGUCGUGAGAUGUUGGGUUAAGUCCCGCAACGAGCGCAACCCUUGAUCUUAGUUGCCAGCAUUCAGUUGGGCACUCUAAGGUGACUGCCGGUGACAAACCGGAGGAAGGUGGGGAUGACGUCAAAUCAUCAUGCCCCUUAUGACCUGGGC